AAAGUAGAGCUGUGAAGGACUAGAAAGAGCUUAGGAGAGUCAAUGCCUCCAACCCGCUGCAAACAAGCCCGAAGCACCAUUGUCCCUCUGCAUGAGGCAGUGAGGUCCCUGCAAGUCACGGCUGCUGCAGGAGUGCACACAGGAUGGUGAGGUAGUCUGGCCCAUGACCCAGGGCCUGGUACAGCAGGAUCCCCUGUCUUGAUGAACCAGCUCUGAACCCACUGGGCAGUUACAUUGUUGGCUAUUUGCAUGUGCUUUCUUAGGAUUUCAUUUCCCUCUUCCUCUCCAAUUCUGCCACGAGCCUGAAACUGGACUUUUGAAAUUGCCUCCUAACUGGUCUUCCUGCCGCUGGUACCUCAUCUACAUACAUCUAGAAUGAUCUUCCUAUAGGACAAAUGGGAUCACUUCAAUCAUCUUAGUUCACUUUAAUGCUUAUUGAGCAAGGUCUGGUGGAUAUAAAAAGGGGAACCAGAGUGGCCGUGGUGGCUCAUGCUUGUAAUCCCAGCACUUUGGGAGGCCGAGGCGGGUGGAUCACAUGAGGUCGGGAGUUCGAGACCAGUCUGACCAACAUGGAGAAGCCCCAUCUCUACUAAAAAUACAAAAUUAGCCGGGUGUGGUGGCACAUCCCUGUAAUCCCUGCUACUCAGGAGGCUGAGAGAGGAGAAUCGCUUGAACCCGGGAGGCAGAGGUUGUGGUAAGCCGAGAUCGUGCCAUUGCACUCCAGCCUGGGCAACAAGAGCGAAACUCCGUCUCAAAAAAAAAACAAAAGGGUGGGGGUGGGGGAACCAGAGACAUCCCUAUUGUGAUGGUUAAUUUGAGUGUCAUCUUGAUUGGAUUGAAGGAUACAAAGUAUUGUUCCUGGGUGUGUCUGAGAGGGUGUUGCCAAAGGAGAUUAACAUUUGAGUCAGCGGACUGGGAGAGGCAGAUCCACCUUCAAUCCGGGAGGGCACCAUCGAAUCAGCUGCCAGCACAGCUAGGAUAAAAGCGGACAGAGGAACGUGGAAGCACUAGACUGGCUGAGUCUUCCAGUCUUCAUCUUUCUCCUGUGCUGGAUGCUUCCUGCCCUCAAACAUUGGACUCCAAGUUCUUCAGCUUUUGGACUCUUGGGCUUACACCAGUGGUUUGCCAGGGGCUCUCGGGCCUUCGGCCACAGACUGAAGGCUGCACUGUCGGCUUCCCUACUUUUGAGGUUUUGGGACUCGGACUGGCUUCCUUGCUCCUCAGCUUGCAGAUGGUCUAUUGUGGGACUUCACCUUGUGAUCACCAAUGAAGAGCCCUCGUGACUGGACCUCAUGCCAAACAACUCGCUACAAAAAGAGCUAGGUUCCCAGACUGCGCCGAAGCUUCAUGAGACCUCUCCUCAUCUGUGCACAGAGGAGUGGCCGACUCUGGAGCCCAGGCGGUCGCUUCCCGGUCUGGUGCUGAAUCCUCCAUAGUCUGUUGAGUGGACAACUCUUGCCCAUCACUCUUCCUUCUAUGCAGUGUUGCUAAUGAUUCCUCCUACUCCACUUCUUCAAGAACCUUCUCAACAGAAGACGCCAGAGGAGGGGGCCUAAGAAGAUACAUAGCAGGAAGUCCCCAGCAAACCAUUUAUCUAUUUUCUCCACAGAUCUACAAUCCCAAAUUGUUCAGCUGGAAACACUAGUAGGCUACGUCGCUUGCCCUAAAUAAGCUUUGCAGAAAUGAACAGAUGGAGGAAAAUUUCAAAGCAGCAUGUGGGCGUUUCAGGCCCAAAUCCCAUUAACAGAUAACAGGAUUUAUAACAGCAGUUCCCACGCAAAGCUUUGGAAAUUUUGAAUUUGUGUGUAAUAGAUUGGGCUCCCUCUCCCCUAAAUUAUCUGCACGUUGUUCCUGCAUCUGGGCAGGGCCCCUUUCUCCAAGCUAAGGAGCCCACAUUGUCAGCUAAGAAGUGUGUGUGGUGGCUCACACCUGUACUCCCAGCACUUUGGGAGGUCAAGACAGGCCGAUCACUUGAGGUCAGCAGUUCAAGACCAGCCUGGCCAACAUGGUGAAACCCCAUCUCUACUAAAAAUACAAAAAUUAGCCGGGUGUGGUGGCGCACACCUGUAAUCCUAGCUACCCAGGAGGCUGAGGCAGGAGAAUUGCUUGAACCUGGGAGGAGGCGGAGGUUGCAAUGAGCUGAGAAGGUGCCACUGUACUCCAGCCUGGGCGACAGAGUGAGACUCUGCCUCCAAAAAAAAAAAAAAAGAAGCAGGAAUGGGGC
rnacentral:lncRNA from 10 species